rnacentral:rRNA from 1 species
UGGGGAAUAUUGCACAAUGGGGGAAACCCUGAUGCAGCGACGCCGCGUGAACGAAGAAGGUAUUCGUAUCGUAAAGUUCUGUCCUAUGGGAAGAUAAUGACAGUACCAUAGAAGAAAGCUCCGGCUAAAUACGUGCCAGCAGCCGCGGUAAUACGUAUGGAGCGAGCGUUGUCCGGAAUUAUUGGGCGUAAAGGGUACGCAGGCGGUUUAAUAAGUCGAAUGUUAAAGAUCGGGGCUCAACACCGGAAAGCAUUGGAAACUGAUAAACUUGAGUAGUGGAGAGGAAAGUGGAAUUACUAGUGUAGUGGGGAAAUACGUAGAUAUUAGGAGGAAUAACAGUAGCGAAGGCGACUUGCUGGACACAAACUGACGCUGAGGUACGAAAGCGUGGGGAGCAAGCAGG